rnacentral:lncRNA from 1 species
GUAUCGGUAGUAAUAUUAGGGCUAUACGGACUCGAACCGUAGACCUUCUCGGUAAAACAGAUCAAACUAUUCUUAUCAAAAUGAUUUGAAUUGUUUUAAAGACCCAACGUGCAUUUUUUUUGCAUUGGGCUUUUUCAUUAACUGAUAGAAAUAUCAAUUAGUCUACCAUCUUUUUUCUUUCCACAAAGAAAAAGGAAAUGACUCCCUGUGCUCUGAUUUCUUAUUUAGAUGAAAAUCUAAAUUUGAAUUGAAAUUUUCAAAUUCUUAGAUUCAUUAAUCUAAUCUAAAUCGAAAUGCUUUGUAUUUUACUAAGUUUACAUUAUUUCUAAUAAAAUUGAAAUUAGUAUCUGAGUAUACUAAUAUCAUUCCAUCAUUCUUUCUAUUCCAAAAAGUAUUUCAAGUAUAUUUAUACUACUAGUAUUUCGUAUUCAAUAUAGUACUAAUAUAAUAAAUAUAGUAUUAUUAGAAAUCUAUUUGUAAUGACAGAUAUGAGAUAAUAAAUAGAAAUCUGAGUAGUAUCGGUAGUAGUAUUAGGGCUAUACGAACUCGAACCGUAGACCUUCUCGGUAAAACAGAUCAAACUAUUCUUAUCAAAAUGAUUUGAAUUAUUUUAAAGACCCAACUUGCAUUUCUUUUUGCAUUGGGCUUUUUCAUUAACUGAUAGAAAUAUCAAUUAGUCUACCAUCUUUUUUCUUUCCACAGAGAAAAAGGAAAUGACUCCCUGUGCUCUGAUUUCUUAUUUAGAUGAAAACCUAAGAGCACUACCAAAGUUUUUCAAAGAAGAAGGUUAUCCUGACGUAGGUCUGCUUCUAGCCUGGAUCAACUUAAGUUAAAUGGACUCUCUAUCAACCUAAUUAAAUAAAAAUAUAAAAUAGGAAAUGAAACUUCAUACACCUUAAAGCUCAUAAGAUAGUAAGAAAAGAGAAUUUUUUUGAGGUCCCUAGACUCAUUGCCUAGCAUUGAAUAGAUUAAGUAUUCACCUUAUCAAUAUCUCAAAUCCAUUAUGGAUUCCAUUUGACGUCUAAAUCCUUUGUCAGGCUAUUGUUCUCGUAUUUUGUUCCUGGAGUAAGACAUCGAUUUAUCAAUUAAGAUCAACUCUUUUAAUUACAUGAUGGACUCCUAUGAAAAAACAUUGGCGCAUGUGUAAACGAGGUGCUCUACCUAACUGAGCUAUGGCCCUUGUGCUUUUGAUACAUACAUAUUGGAUGAUAUUCGAUAAAUAAAUUCUUGUCAAGAUAAAUAUUACAUUACAUCAUCCAAUCUCUUUGAUUUAUAUUGCGUUUGUAUUGUUUAUAAGUAAUAUAUCAUUUAGAAUCCAUUGAUCUGAUAGACAGCGACUUUUUUUAUUUAGGAUGAUAAAUGACCUACUUAACUCAGUGGUUAGAGUAUUGCUUUCAUACGGCAGGAGUCAUUGGUUCAAAUCCAAUAGUAGGGAAGGGAUUGGGAGAACUUAUUAGAUACCAUUGAUUCCGGUAUCUAAUAAGUUUUUCUACUCACCAUUUUUUUAUUGUAAUUUUCCAUCUUUUUUCUUGCACCAACUUGUUAGGAGAUCCUCUUGAUAACAUCAUCCAAUCUCUUUGAUUUAUAUUGCGUUUGUAUUGUUUAUAAGUAAUAUAACAUUUAGAAUCCAUUGAUCUGAUAGACAGCGACUUUUUUUAUUUAGGAUGAUAAAUGACCUACUUAACUCAGAGGUUAGAGUAUUGCUUUCAUACGGCAGGAGUCAUUGGUUCAAAUCCAAUAGUAGGUAAGGUAUUGGGAGAACUUAUUAGAUACCAUUGAUUCCGGUAUCUAAUAAGUUUUUCUACUCACCAUUUUUUUAUCGUAAUUUUCCAUCUUUUUUCUUGCACCAACUUGUUAGGAGAUCCUCUUGAUAGUCUCUACGAUAGCCUCUACUCGUGUCUUAGCUCGCCGGAGAGAUAGAUUUGCUUCAAUUGUUUCUCUCUUGCCUUUAGCCUUAUUUAAGUUCGCUUCUGCUAUUUGAAGAGUUUGUUGUGCUUCUUGUGGAUUAAUGUCACUAGCGCUUUCUGCAUCAGUUACUAAAAUAGUGAUCUCAUUAUUGCCUAUUCUAGCAAAACCGCUCAUCAUAGCCAUCGUUAACUAUCGGUCCUUAAGGCAUAUUCUCAAAAUACCUAUAUCUAAAGUUGUGGCAAUAGGCGCAUGAUUUUGUAAUACCCCAAUUUGUCCAUUAUUAGUAGAUAAAAUAAUUUCUUUCACUUCGGAAUCCCAAACAAUUCGAUUGGGGGUCAGUACACAAAGAUUAAAAGUCAUUAAGCCAUCGUUAACCAUCGGUCCUUAAGGCGUAUUCUCAAAAUACCUAUAUCUAAAGCUGUGGCAAUAGGCGCAUGAUUUUGUAAUACCCCAAUUUGUCCACUAUUAGUAGAUAAAAUAAUUUCUUUCUCUUCGGAAUCCCAAACAAUUCGAUUGGGGGUCAGUACACAAAGAUUAAAAGUCAUUUCUUGAAUUUGUUCUCCAUUUCUAAGUUAAGUUCGUAGCCUUCGCAGUAGCUUCAUCGAUAUUACCCACCAAGUAAAAGGCUUGUUCAGGAAGACUAUCUAAUUCUCUAGAAAGAAUCAAUUGAAAUCCUCUAAUUGUUUCUGCUAGACCAACAUAUUUCCCUGGAGAACCGGUAAAUACUUCUGCUAUGAAAAAAGGUUGUGAGAAGAAACAUUCAAUUUUUCAUGCUCUUGCUAUGGUUAAGCGAUCCUCUUCGGAUACUUCGUCCAACCCAAGAAUAUCUAUCAUGUCCUGAAGUUCUUUGUAACGUUGUAACGUUUGUUUAACUCUUUGUGCAAUUUCAUAAUGUUCUUCACCGACGAUACGAGGUUGGAGCAUGGUUGACGUUGAAUCUAAAGGAUCUACUGCUGGAUAGAUACCUUUGGCAGCUAAUCCUCUUGAUAGUACAACAGAGAAUAAUGAAAACUUGCGAAAAAUCAAAUGAUUUAUUAUAAUAAGUUAUAAUAGGAUAAUAGAAUAAUAGGAUAAUAGGAGAGAAUAAUUCAAACUUCCUACCGGUUCCUACCGGGAAUAAUUAUAACUUCAUACCAAAGAAAAAAAAAGAAUAAAAUAAAAAUGUUUAGCAUAUGAUUUGCAAGUAUUUUGUACGAGAUUCUUUUAGAGGUUUCUGCCUUCAAAUAUUUAAUUCAGCCGUUGUGAUCGGACUCUAUUAUGGAUUUCUGACUACAAUCGCCAUAGGAUCGUCUUAUGUCUUGCUUAUUCGAGCCCGUGUUAUGGAAAAAGAAGGGUCCGACACGGAAAUAGCAGCAACAACUAGGUUUAUUACGGGACGCCUGAUGAUCUUCAUAUCCAUCUAUUAUACGCCUUUGCAUUUGGCAUUGAAUAGACCUCAUACGGUAUCAUUCUUACUAGUACCUUAUCUUUUCUUUUAUUUUCUAUCGCUGAUAUACUAACCUUGACCAACUCCAGGUCUCAAUGUUUUGUUUAAUUGUCAAAAUAUUCAAGAAUUAAGACCAUUAUAAUGCUCCCUUUCGCCAUGCAUAAACUAAACCAACAAUUAGGAUAAGCACGAAGAUGAAAGCUUCUAGAAAUACGGGUACUCCCAAUACAUCAAAACUCAUUGCCCGUGGGUAAAGAAAGAUUGUUUCAACAUCAAAAACAACAAAAACUAGAGCAAACAUAUAAUAACGGAUUUGAAAUUGUAACCAAGCAUCUCCCAUCGGUUCUAUUCCAGAUUCAUAACUAGAAAGUUUUUCUGGCCCUUUCCUAAUUGGAGCUAAAAUUCCAGAAAUGAGAAAUGCCAAAAUAGGAAUCAAGAUCGAUAUUAUUAGAAAUGUCCAAAAGGUUCUAUUCCAGAUUCAUAACUAGAAAGUUUUUCCGGCCCUUUCCUAAUUGGAGCUAAAAUUCCAGAAAUGAGAAAUGCCAAAAUAGGAAUCAAGAUCGAUAUUAUUAGAAAUGUCCAAAAAAUAUCAUAUUCAUAAAGAAAAAACAUAAAUGUACUCCUAUGAAUGUGGAAAAUAUACUAGAUUCAUAUUAAUUCUUAGUCGAUUUGAAUUGAAAAUUUCAAAUUCUUAGAUUCAUUAGUCUAAUCUAAAUCGAAAUGCUUUGUAUUUUAUUAAGUUUACAUUAUUUCUAAUAAAAUUGAAAUUAGUAUCUGAGUAUACUAAUAUCAUUCUAUCAUUCUUUGUAUUCCAAAAAGUAUUUCAAGUAUAUUUAUACUACUAGUAUAAUAUUACUAGUAUUUCGUAUUCAAUAUAGUACUAAUAUAAUAAAUAUAGUAUUAUUAGAAAUCUAUUUGUAAUGACAGAUAUGAGAUAAUAAAUAGAAAUCUGAGUAGUAUCGGUAGUAAUACUAGGGAUCCAAAAAGUAUUUCAAGUAUAUUUAUACUACUAGUAUAGUAUUACUAGUAUUUCGUAUUCAAUAUAGUACUAAUAUAAUAAAUAUAGUAUUAUUAGAAAUCUAUUUGUAAUGACAGAUAUGAGAUAGUAAAUAGAAAUCUGAGUAGUAUCGGUAGUAAUAUUAGGGCUAUACGGACUCGAACCGUAGACCUUCUCGGUAAAACAGAUCAAACUAUUCUUAUCAAAAUGAUUUGAAUUGUUUUAAAGACCCAACGUACAUUUUUUUUUGCAUUGGGCUUUUUCAUUAACUGAUAGAAAUAUCAAUUAGUCUACCAUCUUUUUUCUUUCCACAAAGAAAAAGGAAAUGACUCCCUGUGCUCUGAUUUCUUAUUUAGAUGAAAAUCUGAGAGCACUACCAAAGUUUUUCAAAGAAGAAGGUUAUCCUGACGUAGGUCUGCUUCUGGCCUGGAUCAACUUAAGUUAAAUGGACUCUCUAUCAACCUACUUAAAUAAAAAUAUAAAAUAGGAAAUGAAGAAAUCUAUUUGUAAUGACAGAUAUGAGAUAAUAAAUAGAAAUCUGAGUAGUAUCGGUAGUAAUAUUAGGGCUAUACGGACUCGAACCGUAGACCUUCUCGGUAAAACAGAUCAAACUAUUCUUAUCGAAAUGAUUUGAAUUGUUUUAAAGACCCAACGUGCAUUUUUUUUUGCAUUGGGCUUUUUCAUUAACUGAUAGAAAUAUCAAUUAGUCUACCAUCUUUUUUCUUUCCACAAAGAAAAAGGAAAUGACUCCAUGUGCUCUGAUUUCUUAUUUAGAUGAAAAUCUAAGAGCACUACCAAAGUUUUUCAAAGAAGAAGGUUAUCCUGACGUAGGUCUGCUUCUGGCCUGGAUCAACUUAAGUUAAAUGGACUCUCUAUCAACCUGCUUAAAUAAAAAUAUAAAAUAGGAAAUGAAACUUCAUACACCUUAAAGUUCAUAAGAUAGUAAGAAAAGAGAAUUUUUUUGAGGUCCCUAGACUCAUUGCCUAGCAUUGAAUAGAUUAAGUAUUCACCUUAUCAAUAUCUCAAAUCCAUUAUGGAUUCCAUUUGACGUCUAAAUCCUUUGUCAGGCUAUUGUUCUCGUAUUUUGUUCCUGGAGUAAGACAUCGAUUUAUCAAUUAAGAUCAACUCUUUUAAUUACAUGAUGGACUCCUAUGAAAAAACAUUGGCGCAUGUGUAAACGAGGUGCUCUACCUAACUGAGCUAUAGCCCUUGUGCUUUUGAUACAUACAUAUUAGAUGAU